AAUGGUAGCCAAUUUCAAAAUCACGGUGCCUGUGGUUGUUUUGAUGAUCGUCGCUAUGACAAUGGCGACAAAAGUCAAAUUAUAUUAUGGCCAUGGUGGUUAUGGAAGCUAGGGUGGAUAUGGAGGCUACGGCGGAUAUGGUGGAUAUGGCGGAUAUGGCGGAUAUGGCUAUCCAUAUGGAGGCUAUGGCGCUGGAUACGGACAUGGCUAUUACAGCGGAUACGGCUAUUGAUGAACGAA